rnacentral:rRNA from 1 species
CUCGGAGUUUGAUCCUGGCUCAGAUUGAACGCUGGCGGCAUGCCUUACACAUGCAAGUCGAACGGCGGCACGGGAGCAAUCCUGGUGCGAGUGGCGGAACGGGUGAGUAAUAUAUCGGAACGUGCCCAGUCGUGGGGAUAACGUAGCGAAAGCUACGCUAAUACCGCAUACGAUCUACGGAUGAAAGCGGGGGAUCGCAAGACCUCGCGCGAUUGGAGCGGCCGAUAUCAGAUUAGGUAGUUGGUGGGGUAAAGGCUCACCAAGCCAACGAUCUGUAGCUGGUCUGAGAGGACGACCAGCCACACUGGAACUGAGACACGGUCCAGACUCCGUACGGGGAGGCAGCAGUGGGGAAUUUGGACAAUGGACGCAAGUCUGAU